rnacentral:lncRNA from 1 species
CUUUCUCUUUCCACUUUUCCGAAUCAAAAGCCAAAAAUAAAAUAAAAACUCAUGAACACAUCAUGAACAUUUCAUGAAUGUUCACCCAUAAAUUCCAGCAACACCAAAUCCAAUUCUCUCUCGUUUCUUUUCAGAUCAAACCAAAGAACAACACUGGAAUAUCUCCAGAUCUGUAGAAAAUGCCAUAAAACCUUCGUACACAAACAUUUCAGAUCGUGAAUCCAGUAAACACUGAUUCACGAAUCCAACAACAACAUCAACAUCAAGCUUCGGCUCGUAUAUCAUCAACAAUGGAAGGACUAAGCUAGAUCGGACCGUUCAAGCAGCAAUCUGAACCAGAUCGCGAAGAGGCAAGUAACAAACCGAUCUGAACCGCGAGUGAAGAGGAACCGAUUCGGCCUCCAGAAAUAUUGAGGUAGUGAUCCUUUCUCUUCCUCCUUCUUUUAACAAAAAUUUUCGAAACUUGUAACUUAGAUCUAAAAGUUUAGGUUGUUUGUUUGUGAAAACUAAGUAGAUUUUUGGAAAGAGGAAGAAAAAGGAUAUCUAGAUCUGAAGUUUUUUUUUUUUUUAAACAGAGGUGUUUGGAUUUCCCGGCGCGGUGGCGCCGCCGUGCCGGCUUUCAAGCAACUCGUCGGAGAAGAAGGCUGCACUUGCAGACCUUCUCUCACUAAGUUUGUUUAGAGAGAGGGAGAAAGGAAGAAAUGAAGGAAACCGG